rnacentral:lncRNA from 1 species
AUGCCUGACAUUAAAAUGCUUUUGACACAACCAGGAAUCGAUCCUGGCUUUACGCACUUGGAUCACUUUGCCUUUACCACUAUACCAUCUCGCCUACACCUGCUUUUACUCCUUUUUUAUUCUACUUGGCUAAUUUUCGUAUGGGGUGGAAUUAAUUAACAACGAUGCCUGACAUUAAAAUGCUUUUGACACAACCAGGAAUCGAUCCUGGCUUUACGCACUUGCAACACUUUGCCUUUACCACUAGACCAUCUCGCCUACACUUGCUUUAACUUCUUUUUUAUUCUCACUUAACUCUUUCUCGUCUCGGGAGAAAUAAUUAUAAACCAUACCUGACAUUAAAAUGCUUUUGACACAACCAGGAAACGAUCCUGGCUUUACGCACUUGCAAACAUUUUGCCUUUACCACUAUACCAUUUCGCCUACACUUGCUUUAACUCCUUUUUUAUUCUACUUGGCUAAUUUUCGUCUCGGGUGGAAUUAACAACGAUGCCUGACAUUAAAAUGCUUUUGACAUAACCAGGAAUCGAUCCUGGCUUUACACACUUGCUACACUUUGCCUUUACCACUAGACCAUCUCGCCUACACUUAAUUUAACUCCUAUUUUAUUCUACUUGGCGACAAAGAUCUCGUCUCGGGUGGAAUAAUUAACAACGAUGCUUGACAUUAAAAUGCUUUUGACUCAACCAGGAAUCGAUGCUGGCUUUAUGCACUUGCAAACACUUUGCCUUUACCACUAGACCAUCUCGCCUACAGAUUCUAAAAUUACAAUUUGCAGACCGGCUUAAAUUCACGUUUCCGCUACAGGGACCUUGAAAUUCAAUAGAACAUCAGAUUCGAAACGGCCAAACCCUAACCCUCACUUAUAAAAUAUUAACUUUCACGUGGUUUUCGAUUACACAGCUGGAUAAAACUGCUUUUUAUCUCCACGUCCGGCCUAGUAAUGCACGAAUGAGGCAUCGACAGAAGGCUUAUUGAUAGUAGAUUCCUGAAAUACAAUUUUCCGGCUAGCCCAAAUUCAAGUCUCUGCUACAAGGGCCUUGUAAUUCGAUAGAACAUCAGGUUCGAAACCGCAUAAUAUUAACUUUCACGUCUUUUUCGAUUAUGCACCUGGAAUAACCUGCUUCUUAUCUUCAUGAACUGUUUAGUGAUACACGUAUAAGGCAUCGAUAGAAAGCUUAUGGACCGUAGAUUUCAUAAAUGCAAUUUUCAGACCGUGACAAAUUCUAGUUUCUGCUGCAGAGGCCUUGAAAUUCAAUAGAACGCAAGGUUUGAAAUCGCAUAAUAUUAACUUUCACGUCUUUUUCGAUUAUGCACCUGGAAUAACCUGCUUUGUAUCUUCAUGGACUGUCUUUUGAUGCACGAGUAAGGCAUCGACAGAAAGCCUAUGGACCGUAGAUUCUAAAAAUACAAUAUUCAGACCGGUGUAAAUUCACGUUUCCGCUACAGGGACCUUGAAAUUCAAUAGAACAUCAGAUUCGAAACAGCCAAACCCUAACCCUCACUUAUAAAAUAUUAACUUUCACGUCUUUUUCGAUUACACAGCUGGAAAAACUGGUUUUUAUCUCCACGUCCGGCCUAGUGAUGCACGAAUGAGGGAUUGACAGAAGGCUUAUUGAUAGUAGAUUCCAGAAAUACAAUUUUCAGGCUUGCCCAAAUUCAAGUCUCUGCUACAAGGGCCUUCUAAUUCGAUAGAACAUCUUACCAACUUAGAAAGGUUCAAAACGCAUAUUAACGGAGAUAGGUUUGGCUCAGGGGAAUUUUAAAGCACAUUUUCACAUGGCUAUCAUUGGGCCGUAUACAAAUCAAUCUUUGCCCGUCCCGAUUACUAUAAAUUACACUACGCUUGCCCGGAUUUCGGAGUCAAAUAAAGCUAGGCUUGUCACUUAGAAAAUUUUUGGCUGAUCGAAAAAAAAUUUUCGUCAUAGAUCAACUUAGAAAGGUUCAAAACGCAUAUUAACGGUGAUAGGUUUAGCUCAGGGGAAUUUUAAAGCACAUUUUC